GCGGUAACACCAGCCCCCCGAGUGGUGGGGAUGAUUAUUUGGCCUAAAGCGUCCGUAGCCGGCUCUGUAAAUCUCUCGUUAAAUCCAGCGUCCUAAGCGUUGGGCUGCGAGGGAGACUGCAGAGCUAGAGGGUGGGAGAGGUCAGCGGUAUUCCUGGGGUAGGGGCGAAAUCCAUUGAUCCCAG
rnacentral:rRNA from 1 species